GACGAACGCUGGCGGCGCGCUUAACACAUGCAAGUCGAGCGAGAACCAGGGCUUCGGCCCUGGGGACAGCGGCGAACGGGUGAGUAACACGUGGGUAAUCUGCCCUCGGCGCCGGGAUAGCCCGGGGAAACCCGGAUUAAUACCGGAUGUCCCCUCAGCCCCUCGGGGCGGGGGGAAAAGGUAGCUUCGGCCUCCGGCCGAGGAGGAGCCCGCGGCCGAUUAGCUUGUUGGCGGGGUAACGGCCCACCAAGGCGGCGAUCGGUAGCUGGUGUGAGAGCAUGAUCAGCCACACUGGGACUGAGACACGGCCCAGACUCCUACGGGAGGCAGCAGUGGGGAAUCUUGCGCAAUGGGCGAAAGCCUGACGCAGCGACGCCGCGUGCGGGAAGAAGGCCUUCGGGUUGUAAACCGCUUUCAGGAGGGACGAAGCCACUCGGGUUAAUAGCCCAGAGGGUGACGGUACCUCCAGAAGAAGCCCCGGCUAACUACGUGCCAGCCGCCGCCGUAACAC
rnacentral:rRNA from 1 species